CCUACGGGUGGCAGCAGUGAGGAAUAUUGGUCAAUGGACGCAAGUCUGAACCAGCCAUGCCGCGUGCAGGAAGACGGCUCUAUGAGUUGUAAACUGCUUUUGUACGGGAGUAAACGCAGAUACGCGUCUCUGUCUGCAAGUAUCGUACGAAUAAGGAUCGGCUAACUCCGUGCCAGCAGCCGCGGUAAUACGGAGGAUUCAAGCGUUAUCCGGAUUUAUUGGGUGUAAAGGGUGCGUAGGCGGUCGGAUAAGUUAGAGGUGAAAUCCCGAGGCUCAACUUCGGAAUUGCUUCUGAUACUGUUCGGCUAGAGAGUAGUUGCGGUAGGCGGAAUGUAUGGUGUAGCGGUGAAAUGCUUAGAGAUCAUACAGAACACCGAUGGCGAAGGCAGCUUACCAAGCUACUACUGACGUUGAGGCACGAAAGCGUGGGGAGCAAACAGGAUUAGAUACCCUUGUAGUC
rnacentral:rRNA from 1 species